rnacentral:ncRNA from 1 species
UAACUAAAUCGUUUAUUUGCAGAUAUAUCGCUGGAAAAUGGCCAGCAGUUUCUACCACGCCCCAAAAGUCGUGACUAUCCGCAAGUGUUAGCUCGUA